rnacentral:lncRNA from 14 species
GUGUGAUAGCCAUGUCCUGGUGCGCACAGUAACUGCUGACCAUCUUUCUCUUCUGUUUCCCAUGUGUCAGAGCUUGGACCUCCCUGGACAAUGGAGUACUUCCCCAUCAGGAGCUGCCACCUUGUCUUUCAGAACAGGUCUGGGAUGUUCUACCUGCCACUGCAUGCUGUUACGUUAAAACCAACAUCUGGUGCAACUGGACCAUCUGGGCAGGCCCCCAGAAGCACAUUGUCAUCUACAUCCAGGGGCUCCAUGGGAGCGAUGGCUGCGGCAAGAACCAGGACAGGAUCAUCUUCCAGGGGAUCUCAUCGAGUGUGGAAACCAAAGUGGUGUAUGCCUGUCAAAACCGAGGCACUCUGAUCUUUGCUACACAAGCUGCUGCAGUCCAUGUGUUGUUUCUGUCAGGGAAUGGUUCCCUAAGGCAUGAAUACAGAUCUUUUAAAGGACAGUAUUAUGUGUUCAGAGACUCUGAAACCAUGGGCUCUUCAAAUGACACCAUAGCUACCAGAGAGCCUGUCCAGGAGACCUCUAAGAAAGAGGGCUGGAAGACAGCAGUGACAAAAGGUCUAUUGCCCAUGCUGAGAGCCUCUGCAAGCCCAUCAGCUACACCUGUUGGUGGCAGGACCCAGCCUGAGCUUGUGAGCACAGAUGAAGAGACCCAACACUCUCCUGAUCUUAGGGAAGAUGCUCAGUAUGGUGCUAACCUCAGUGAGUAUGAUCAGCUGUGGGAUGAAACCAAGCUGCAAAGGAGCCUUGAGGAUAGUGGCACUGAGGGCAGAGAAACUGAAGCUGACAUGUUGGUGGGGCAAGGUGCUGGGUGUAAAGCUGAGCCAUCUGCCUCGGAGGCUGCAAAGGGGGAUGUAGAGUCAGUGUCUGCUCUGAUCACCACAGGUACCCCUUCCUCAGAGGUGCCCAGCAGCAGUGCAGGUCUCCUUGUCAAAUCAUGUAUCCUGGAUGAGGCCAGCAGCAGCCUGUCAGAUGGAGUGGCUGCUGCUGCAUGUCUCACACAGACACCAGCGCUGGAAGAGCCACUGCUAAACACAAGUACAAAGCCUCCUGUCUACCCCUCUCCUGGUGUGAAUGCUGGAGAUGCAGUGUCUCUGGGAGAAAGCAUGGAAGAGCUCUUUGAUCUGGCUUCUGUCCUGGCAUCUCUGGAGAACAGCACAGCACUGCAAUCCCAGCACCAUCCCGGAGUAGAUAUGCUGUUUGAAGUAACUGUUGAAAUCAAACCCAAGGACUGGAUUUCUCAUGGUGGAAGUGAGCUCCAAAAGGGUCUUCUCGAAUCUAUGAAGAACCAUAUCCAGGAGAACCUGAAACUUCCUGCCAGCAGAGUCAAUGAACUAAAGCUAAAAGAAAUCAAAAGGACAAGUGAUGCCAACCUGCUGCUCACCUUCUGGCUGCAUCUGAAGCUGGAGGAGAGGAACAUGUCUCUGCUCCUGCACUCCCAGCUGGAGGAGCUCCUUGGCUCCUCAGCAGGAGCAGAGAAGCUGCAUCUUGUUUCACUAUUUGUUGAAGAUGUGAAUGAGUGCAGUGCUGGGGUUGGACUCUGCGGGGAGGAGGCAGAGUGCUUCAAUGGUGUGGGCACGUACCUCUGCCGCUGCAAGAAGGACUAUGAAGACCAUUCCCCCACCAAGUCUGGCACCCUCUGCAUCCCUGCUGCACAAUCAGGGAUCAGCUCCUUCCUCCGCCACGGCGACAUCCUGGUGGGUGCAGCCAUCACAGCUGCCCUGUCGAUGCUGGUGGCUGCAGGUGCCCUGUGCAGGGCAGCCAUGCGGAGCCGGCAUCGCAGGAGGAGCCUGAGCCCUGAGGAGCCCUCAGCGAGGGCUGCGGAGGAGCCGGCGAUGGAGCUGCAUGACCUGGGGCAGUGCCUGCGCCUCGACCCCUUCCAGCUGAAGCUUCGAGCCAGGGUCCCUGAGUGGCUCUGGACUGCCCGGGUCCACCCUGCCCAGGAGUACCGGGUGUUCCUGGAGCAGUCCCCCCAGCUCUGAGGGGUCCUAGGGCUCCUUCAAGCCCCUUUAUGGCCCUGGUGACCUGUGCUGUCACUCCUGCCUUCCCCAGCUGACACAAGCCACUGGCUGUGUGAAUGAACCCUUCUGGUGUGUUUUAUGGACCAUAAAUGUCCCACCACAGUCUUCCUCGUCUUGUAGUUUAAUUUUUAAUACUCACCUAGCUUGGAAAACAAAGUGCGUGUUCCACACUGCUGUGCAUCUUCUCCUGACUUAACCUGUAUGACAGUGGUGUAGAGCUGUAAGUACAUGGAAAUUAAACACUUUUUUAAGGAAAAAAAAAGGGCAAAUAAGAUAUUUUGGUGUUUAAGAG